AAUAAGACAACGGGGUGCUUACAGAAGUAGGCUGAGAUUAAGCUGGAUUGCUUUGACCCGAAACCUGAUUUGGAUAAUGCCAACGUAGGGAUAUAUGGAGAGCAUAGA
rnacentral:ncRNA from 2 species